rnacentral:rRNA from 1 species
UACGUAGGGGGCUAGCGUUGUCCGGAAUCAUUGGGCGUAAAGCGCGCGUAGGCGGCCCAGUAAGUCCGUUGUAAAAGUCAAAGGCUCAACCUUUGAAAGCCGAUGGAUACUGCUGGGCUAGAGUCCGGAAGAGGCGAGUGGAAUUCCUGGUGUAGCGGUGAAAUGCGCAGAUAUCAGGAGGAACACCAAUGGCGAAGGCAGCACUCUGGGACGUGACUGACGCUGAGACGCGAAAGCGUGGGGAGCAAACGGG